rnacentral:rRNA from 1 species
GGGGGGGGGGGGGGGGGGGGUGGGGGGGGGGAGGGCGGAGGGGAGGGGCGUGGGUGGGUGGGGUGCUCGGGGGGCGGAGGGGGGAGUAACACGGGAGUAGCCUGCCCUUGAGUUUGGGAUAGCGUCGGGAAGCUGGGGCUAAUACCGGAUAGGAGCUCCUGCGGCAGGGUGGGGGGGGGCAAGUUUCGGCGGUUGGGGAUGGACGCGCGGCUUAUCAGCCUGUUGGUGGGGUAGGGGCUUACCAAGGCUUUGACGGGUAGCCGGCCUGAGAGGGUGACCGGCCACAUUGGGACUGAGAUACGGCCCAGACUCCUACGGGAGGCAGCAGUGGGGAAUAUUGCACAAUGGGCGGAAGCCUGAUGCAGCAACGCCGCGUGCGGGAUGACGGCCUUCGGGUUGUAAACCGCUUUCGCCUGUGACGAAGCGUGAGUGACGGUAAUGGGUAAAGAAGCACCGGCUAACUACGUG